AGCAGCCGCGGUAAUUCCAGCUCCAAUAGCGUAUAUUAAAGUUGUUGCAGUUAAAAAGCUCGUAGUUGAAUUUCGGGGUUAGUAGGUUGGUCAUGCCUCUGGUAUGUACUGGUCUCACUGAUUCCUCCUUCCUGAUGAACCGUAAUGCCAUUAAUUUGGUGUUGCGGGGAAUUUGGACUGUUACUUUGAAAAAAUUAGAGUGUUUAAAGCAAGCUAACGCUUGAAUACAUUAGCAUGGAAUAAUGAAAUAGGACGUUCGAUCCUAUUUUGUUGGUUUCUAGGAUUGACGUAAUGAUUAAUAGGGAUAAUUGGGGGCAUUAGUAUUCAAUUGUCAGAGGUGAAAUUCUUGGAUUUAUUGAAGACUAACUACUGCGAAAGCAUUUGCCAAGGAUGUUUUCAUUAAUCAAGAACGAAAGUUAGGGGAUCGAAGACGAUCAGAUACCGUCGUAGUCUUAACCAUAAACUAUGCCGACUAGGGAUCGGAUGAUGUUAAUUUUUUAAUGACUCA
rnacentral:rRNA from 1 species